rnacentral:rRNA from 1 species
AGAGUUUGAUCCUGGCUCAGAUUGAACGCUGGCGGCAUGCCUUACACAUGCAAGUCGAACGGCAGCAUGAUCUAGCUUGCUAGAUUGAUGGCGAGUGGCGAACGGGUGAGUAAUACAUCGGAACGUGCCCUGUAGUGGGGGAUAACUAGUCGAAAGAUUAGCUAAUACCGCAUACGACCUGAGGGUGAAAGUGGGGGACCGCAAGGCCUCAUGCUAUAGGAGCGGCCGAUGUCUGAUUAGCUAGUUGGUGGGGUAAAGGCCCACCAAGGCGACGAUCAGUAGCUGGUCUGAGAGGACGAUCAGCCACACUGGGACUGAGACACGGCCCAGACUCCUACGGGAGGCAGCAGUGGGGAAUUUUGGACAAUGGGGGCAACCCUGAUCCAGCAAUGCCGCGUGUGUGAAGAAGGCCUUCGGGUUGUAAAGCACUUUUGUCCGGAAAGAAAUCGCACUUACUAAUAUUAGGUGUGGAUGACGGUACCGGAAGAAUAAGGACCGGCUAACUACGUGCCAGCAGCCGCGGUAAUACGUAGGGUCCAAGCGUUAAUCGGAAUUACUGGGCGUAAAGCGUGCGCAGGCGGUUGUGCAAGACCGAUGUGAAAUCCCCGGGCUUAACCUGGGAAUUGCAUUGGUGACUGCACGGCUAGAGUGUGUCAGAGGGGGGUAGAAUUCCACGUGUAGCAGUGAAAUGCGUAGAGAUGUGGAGGAAUACCGAUGGCGAAGGCAGCCCCCUGGGAUAACACUGACGCUCAUGCACGAAAGCGUGGGGAGCAAACAGGAUUAGAUACCCUGGUAGUCCACGCCCUAAACGAUGUCAACUAGUUGUUGGGGAUUCAUUUCCUUAGUAACGUAGCUAACGCGUGAAGUUGACCGCCUGGGGAGUACGGUCGCAAGAUUAAA